UACGGAGGGUGCGAGCGUUGUCCGGAAUCACUGGGCGUAAAGGGCGCGUAGGCGGCGCGGGAAGUCCGUGGUGAAAGCCCGAGGCUCAACUUCGGGUCGGCCAUGGAUACUCCUGGGCUUGAGCACUGUAGAGGCAGGUGGAAUUCCGGGUGUAGCGGUGGAAUGCGUAGAGAUCCGGAAGAACACCAGUGGCGAAGGCGGCCCGCUGGGCAGUGGCUGACGCUGAGGCGCGACAGCGUGGGGAGCAAACAGG
rnacentral:rRNA from 1 species